rnacentral:rRNA from 1 species
GACGAACGCUGGCGGCGUGCCUAAUACAUGCAAGUAGAACGCUGAAGAGAGGAGCUUGCUCUUCUUGGAUGAGUUGCGAACGGGUGAGUAACGCGUAGGUAACCUGCCUCGUAGCGGGGGACAACUAUUGGAAACGAUAGCUAAUACCGCAUAACAAUGGAUGACACAUGGCAUUUAUUUGAAAGGGGCAAUUGCUCCACUACAAGACGGACCUGCGUUGUAUUAGCUAGUAGGUGAGGUAAUGGCUCACCUAGGCGACGAUACAUAGCCGACCUGAGAGGGUGAUCGGCCACACUGGGACUGGGACACGGCCCAGACUCCUACGGGGGGCAGCAGUAGGGAAUCUUCGGCAAUGGGGGCGACCCUGACCGAGCAACGCCGCGUGAGUGGAGAAGGUUUUCGGGUCGUAAAGCUCUGUUGUACGUCAAGAACGGGUGUGAGAGUGGAAAGUUCACACUGUGACGGUAGCUUACCAGAAAGGGACGGCUAACUACGUG